UACGUAGGGUGCAAGCGUUGUCCGGAAUUAUUGGGCGUAAAGAGCUCGUAGGCGGUUUGUCGCGUCGAAUGUGAAAACCCGGGGGCUCAACCCCGGGCCUGCAUUCGAUACGGGCAGACUAGAGUUCGGUAGGGGAGUCUGGAAUUCCUGGUGUAGCGGUGAAAUGCGCAGAUAUCAGGAGGAACACCGGGUGGCGAAGGCGGGACUCUGGGCCGAUACUGACGCUGAGGAGCGAAAGCGUGGGGAGCAAACAGG
rnacentral:rRNA from 1 species